rnacentral:rRNA from 1 species
AGACAGCAGCAGCCGCGGUAAUACGAAGGGGGCUAGCGUUGCUCGGAAUUACUGGGCGUAAAGGGAGCGUAGGCGGAUGUUUAAGUCAGAGGUGAAAGCCCAGGGCUCAACCUUGGAACUGCCUUUGAUACUGGACAUCUUGAGUGUGGGAGAGGUAAGCGGAACUCCGAGUGUAGAGGUGAAAUUCGUAGAUAUUCGGAAGAACACCAGUGGCGAAGGCGGCUUACUGGCCCAUUACUGACGCUGAGGCUCGAAAGCGUGGGGAGCAAACAGGAUUAGAUACCCCCGUAGUCCCUGUCUCUUAUAA